rnacentral:rRNA from 1 species
UCCAGACUCCUACGGGAGGCAGCAGUGGGGAAUAUUGCACAAUGGGGGAAACCCUGAUGCAGCGACGCCGCGUGAGCGAUGAAGUAUUUCGGUAUGUAAAGCUCUAUCAGCAGGGAAGAAAAUGACGGUACCUGACUAAGAAGCCCCGGCUAACUACGUGCCAGCAGCCGCGGUAAUACGUAGGUGACAAGCGUUGUCCGGAUUUACUGGGUGUAAAGGGCGCGUAGGCGGACUGUCAAGUCAGUCGUGAAAUACCGAAGCUUAACUUCGGGGCUGCGAUUGAAACUGACAGCCUUGAGUAUCGGAGAGGAAAGCGGAAUUCCUAGUGUAGCGGUGAAAUGCGUAGAUAUUAGGAGGAACACCAGUGGCGAAGGCGGCUUUCUGGACGACAACUGACGCUGAGGCGCGAAAGUGUGGGGAGCAAACAGGAUUAGAUACCCGCGUA